rnacentral:rRNA from 1 species
CGUGGGUAAUCUGCCUCCGAGUGGGGAAUAACACCGGGAAACUGGUGCUAAUACCGCAUGACAUCGCCGGGCCUUCGGGCCUGGGGAUCAAAGCCGGGGACCGCAAGGCCUGGCGCUUGGAAACGAGCCCCCGACUAAUUAGCUAGUUGGCGGCGAAACGCCCCACCAACGAUACGAUCCGUACUCAGCCUGAGAGGGCGGACGGCCACACUGGGACUGAGACACGGCCCAGACUCCUACGGGAGGCAGCAGUGGGGAAUUUUUCGCAAUGGGGGAAACCCUGACGAAGCAACGCCGCGUGGAGGAUGAAGGCCUUCGGGUCGUAAACUCCUGUCGACCGGGACGAAAAUAGUCUGACCUAAUACGUCCGGCUAUCGACUGUACCCGGUGGAGGAAAAAAAAACCCCAAUAUCUUUUCAAUACCCCGGUAAUACAGAGGUGGCAAGCGUUGUUCCGAAUUACUGGGCGUAAAGGGCGCGUAGGCGGUUCGUUUAAGUCCUGUGUGAAUUCCCCCGGCUCAAUGGGGGAACUGCACAGGAAACUACCGGGCUUGAUUUCGGGAAAGGGAAGCGGAAUUCCGGGUGUACGGUGAAAUGCGUAGAUAUCCGGGAGGAACACCGGUGGG